AGGCUAAUAGUUUAUAAAAAAUUUUUGAUUGUUAAUUAAAAGAAGGGCAGUGGUUCUUAGCUUA
rnacentral:tRNA from 1 species